rnacentral:rRNA from 1 species
UGGGGAAUUUUGGACAAUGGGCGAAAGCCUGAUCCAGCAAUGCCGCGUGUGUGAAGAAGGCCUUCGGGUUGUAAAGCACUUUUGUCCGGAAAGAAAUCCUUGGCUCUAAUACAGUCGGGGGAUGACGGUACCGGAAGAAUAAGCACCGGCUAACUACGUGCCAGCAGCCGCGGUAAUACGUAGGGUGCAAGCGUUAAUCGGAAUUACUGGGCGUAAAGCGUGCGCAGGCGGUUUGCUAAGACCGAUGUGAAAUCCCCGGGCUCAACCUGGGAACUGCAUUGGUGACUGGCAGGCUAGAGUAUGGCAGAGGGGGGUAGAAUUCCACGUGUAGCAGUGAAAUGCGUAGAGAUGUGGAGGAAUACCGAUGGCGAAGGCAGCCCCCUGGGCCAAUACUGACGCUCAUGCACGAAAGCGUGGGGAGCAAACAGGAUUAGAUACCCUGGUAGUCCACGCCCUAAACGAUGUCAACUAGUUGUUGGGGGAUUCAUUUCCUUAGUAACGUAGCUAACGCGUGAAGUUGACCGCCUGGGGAGUACGGUCGCAAGAUUAAAACUCAAAUGGAAUUGACGGGGUCAUAGCUGUUUCCU